AACGCUGGCGGCGUGCCUAAUACAUGCAAGUAGAACGCUGAAAGAGAGGAGCUUGCUCUUCUUGGAUGAGUUGCGAACGGGUGAGUAACGCGUAGGUAACCUGCCUUGGAACGGGGGAUAACUAUUGGAAACGAUAGCUAAUACCGCAUAACAAUGGGUGACACAUGUCAUUUAUUUGAAAGGGGCAAUUGCUCCACUACAAGAUGGACCUGCGUUGUAUUAGCUAGUAGGUGAGGUAACGGCUCACCUAGGCGACGAUACAUAGCCGACCUGAGAGGGUGAUCGGCCACACUGGGACUGAGACACGGCCCAGACUCCUACGGGAGGCAGCAGUAGGGAAUCUUCGGCAAUGGGGGCAACCCUGACCGAGCAACGCCGCGUGAGUGAAGAAGGUUUUCGGAUCGUAAAGCUCUGUUGUAAGUCAAGAACGAGUGUGAGAGUGGAAAGUUCACACUGUGACGGUAGCUUACCAGAAAGGGACGGCUAACUACGUGCCAGCAGCCGCGGUAAUACGUAGGUCCCGAGCGUUGUCCGGAUUUAUUGGGCGUAAAGCGAGCGCAGGCGGUUUGAUAAGUCUGAAGUUAAAGGCUGUGGCUCAACCAUAGCUCGCUUUGGAAACUGUCAAACUUGAGUGCAGAAGGGGAGAGUGGAAUUCCAUGUGUAGCGGUGAAAUGCGUAGAUAUAUGGAGGAACACCGGUGGCGAAAGCGGCUCUCUGGUCUGUAACUGACGCUGAGGCUCGAAAGCGUGGGGAGCGAACAGGAUUAGAUACCCUGGUAGUCCACGCCGUAAACGAUGAGUGCUAGGUGUUGGAUCCUUUCCGGGAUUCAGUGCCGCAGCUAACGCAUUAAGCACUCC
rnacentral:rRNA from 1 species